CCUCAGCCAUGGAGCACUGUUGUGUGAUGGAGAUGAAGUUGAGAGCGGUACUCACUGCCGAGCUUGUUGGUGGCACCUGUGGGUACCAAGCAGGAGGAUUAGACACCCAGAGAGAUGCUGGCUCUUCCCCAAGGCAGGAGCAGCUGUUCAGGCACUAUCUCUCCAAAACUGCUCCCCAUGUCUGCAGGCACCCCCAGAGCCACCCGCCUUGGUGCAACUUCUCACCAUGCUAUCCCCAGUGGUCAGAACUGGUGGUUAUAGCCUUGGCCAGGAACUGCAAGUACAAAUGUUCAUGGCAACUAUAUGCAGCUCUGGGGUCUGGCUCACAAAGGGGACACCCACCCCCUCCCUCCGGAGCCGGCUGGAGCCCUGCCGGUGUCUCACCGAUCCAGCUCCGCAGGCUGAUGGCUUUCCAGCUGCGGUCAAAGUACGUCUGCACGAUGAACCAUGUGCCCAGCAGCGUGACGAGCAGAACCACGGACCGGAUCACGCCUGCGAGGGACGGGAGAGGAGCCAGGUUGAUUUUUUAAAAAAGUUUGUUUUUAAAGACUGCACUGGAAAAAAAGUCAUCUGUAUUUUGGCAUCUGCCAGAGGGCAACUUGCAGGAGAAGGAGAAAGGAAGGAACUGUGGUGAGUGAUAAACAGAACUAUUUGCCUAACAACGGGAAACCUAUUUGCUUAAAAACCAUUCCGGGAACAAAAACUUUCUCAGACAAAUAUUGCCAAAGAGCUCUGUGGCAUUGUAAGGCAAAGGCUCCACCCUGAGCCUGCUCAGGACUGAAGUGCCUCUUGGCACUGCCAAGUUAUUGCUGCCAAGAAGAAACCGGGGCACAUCCCUGCCCUCACAGGGAGGUUUUCCAGGAUGUGGGGGGUGACUGUUCCUAUUUCCUCCCACACCAGAGGAAAGUUUCACUUCUCUUCCCCAGAAACUUUCAGCUUGUUGGGUUUGGGUUUUUUUUCCUGCUUUUCAUUGCACCCCAUCCCUGUCUCUCCCAGCUGGCUGUGGAGUGGGGAUGCAGCUCCAAGGAGGGUGGCUGCCAGAUGUCACCCGUGCCCACACCCAGCAAGUCACGGCUCCAAAAAUCAGUGUUUUCCUGUGAAACUAAAUGCAGGGAGCACAGAAGAAGGGCCGGCAUGGGGUGGGUGCACACUGGCUGUGUGUCCAGGCCUGGUCCCACCAUAAGAGGAUGGAGGAUGUUAUGAUGCUAUUUUUAGUCUGAAAACGAGUCAAUCUGACAGAGCUUUGCUGAGCUACUCAAUGGGAGAGCACUGCUUGCCAAAGGGCUUAUAAAUUCCUCGACUAAUAAAAAUGCUCGGCCAGCUACUGUAAGUGCCAGAAGGCUGGAGAGAGCAUCUUAUGGCCAAAAUGCCCCUGGCAUAAAUCAAUAGUUAACCGGGGUGAGGCCCUGAUCCUGAAACAGAAGCCAAACAGGAUGCACAGUGGUGGCUCCGCAUCUGGGAGCGGGACCAUGGCCAAGGUGGGAUGUGACACCUGAGGUGCUGCUGAGGAAGCCAGUCCCUGGGACCUGUGCCAAGGGGACAGGCUGGUUUUGGUACCCGUGCCAGGUGCACCCCUGUCCACUGUGUGCUGCAGGGCAGGUACAGUCCCUCCUGCACUCGGCUGCCUGCAGCUGUCAGAGCAGCUUCACCCAACCACAGCCACCAUCAAUUCCAUCUCUUGUUCUUUUAUUUGUCAUUGGCGGCCACUUGUCCGGUUCUCUGUCCGUGUCACUGAGCCCAAAGUUAAAUCCCUAUGAGCUCCUCUCCAAUGAGGUUUCCCUGAGCAGUAAAUCGGGAGCUGCAAAAGCGAUGAGAGAUGGAGGGGAGUGAUCGCAUCCCCUUUGGCAUGAGAAUGGUGGCUGGCAGCUUGGUGAGGAUCCCUGUGCCAUGGGUUGAAGGUUGUACUGAAGUGCCCCAUGCCAAAACCCCAGGGCAAAAGGAGGGACACAAGUGCUGGUGCUCAGGGCUGGCAGCGAGCUGGCUGCUGGGAAGGGGCUGGGGCAGAAAGCAGAGGGUGAGCUGGGCCAUGGGGCACUGGACAGCCACAGUGAAGGGAUCUGGUUUUUGGUACUUGCACACAGGAGGACCUGAAAUGCAUUUUUGGCAGUUAGCAAAGCCCUGGGUGCCAGCACCCCAAGGGCUCCCGGCUGGUGCGUGGGAGGUGUCCCAGCGGUCGGGGUUGUGCAUCGCUCAGCUCUCCUGCUUUCCCUAUUGCACCCUGGCUGCUCUGAGUGCAAAGAGGUUGCUCUUGGGAUGUGGGGAUGCUUUUGUUAUCGUGUCAGAGGAGGUUUCCAGAUGACCAGUGUUUGCUGCUUUCUGACAGAAAGCACUUAGUAUCUCAUGUCCUCCUACCCUUGCAUCUAGUCUGGUUUCUCAGGUCUCCAGCUGGUGCCAUCAGUUUUUUAAAGAAAAUAAUGCCUUCCCUACUGCUGCAGUGUUGGCAGCAAGACUCGGUCCCUACACAAGCUCUUCCAGUAGUGCAAGAAAAAAAGAGAUGAUAUCCUGAGCUUGGCAUUGGACAAGCCGCAUGCUUUGUGCGAUGAACACCCUGCAAAUUCAUCCAUAGCUUUGAUGGAUAAAGGGGUUUGACCUGGACAACACGUCACAGAGCUGAUUCUACCACAUAUCCUGUAAUGGGUGGAAAUGUGGAUUUAACCCUUGCCAUUAACACAGGUAGUUCAUUGAUUCUGCUCAGCAUCCCAGGGACGCUGUUCCUCUCCACAGACAGUGUGGGUGCCGGUACAUCCCAGGUAGAUAGGGUGCCAUGUACUUAGCAGCACAGCUGCCCAGCCCAACCCAACCCUCUGUGACUUGGGGCACCUACCCAAACCUCAUCUUGCUGUCUGGCACAGGGCUGGGUGCCCCCAUGUGCCCCCAUGUGCCCCCCCAUGGCGCACAGUGACCGGGAGCUGUUGGGAGCAGCUGUUAUGCAGGAGGGGAAAAAAGUAAUUCCUGUGGCUGUGAGCUCAUGUGUUUCCUUUGGAGGUUUUCUCCACUUUGACACUCUUCUUUAUGCCAUAUGAGAAGAGGAAAACCUCUGGGCAGCAGCCUGACCCUCUGCACUUGCACUAAACCAGCACACCAGGUAGCGUGGCAGUGGGAAUAAAGCUGGGGGGGCUGGAGCAAAGCACCCAUGGGACCAACAUUAGUAAUAGUAAUUAGUUUAAUACCUGAGGGUGCUCUCUGCAGAACACUGUGCACUGACCUUUUCUUUGCAUCCCCAGUGCUGGGCAAGAGCUCCAAGGCUGCAUCCUGGACUACACACUGGAGGAAAUUCCAGCUUCUGCACCAAAACCUUCCAGGCAGGGAGCAGAAAAACAAACACAGGCCUGGGCUUGGCAUUGGGAUAAUUAUUGCCUUCGGAAGGAAAUUUUAGCUGUGGUGAGAGUCUGGGCUUGAACAGCGCAGUCUAAAUCAGAAAUCUCCUCCCUCUCCCGGGAAAUAUCCUUCCUAUUAGUUUGUUUAGCUGCUGGCAAUAACUGGCUCGGCUCAAUAACAAAGCGCCCCAAGCCCCGGCGUGCUGCGGCACGGGUCUCUGUGCUGUCCCCCCGCUUCCCAUCCACUCAGGGCUUGUAGCACCCUGGGGAUGCCUGUUUUGGGAUUAAUUUAUCCUCCUGCUUCAAUGGACCUGAGGCCCCCUGGGUCCUCCAUGGAGAUGGAGACGUUGCUGCUGCUGCUUGCAGAGGAAACAAGGAAAACACUUCAGCAGGGCUGGGGGCCUCGUCAUCCCAGUGUAGAACCUUGUCUGAAAUGCUUCUGCUCUCUGCAACUGCGUAUUUCAUGCCAGAUGUUCCCCUGAAACCACAGGAAAGGAUGGGGAGUUGCGCGUGGGAUGUGGCUGUGACACAGCCCAGGUGCUGAUGUGGGAGCUCUCGUGUCCUGUCCCCGUGCCCUGUGGUAGCCCAGGUUUGCUGUGGCACAUGGCAGAAAGGUGCUUUUAAAUCACACAGAACAUCACUGAAUGCAUCAAGUGCUGGGGUUGGGGCAUCAGCUUGGUCUUGCCUCAGCAAAUAAUUAACUUGUGCAGUGCAAUGGAAUUACAUCAGGCUCAUCUGCAGGCUCCCCCUGGGAAGCUUCUGCAUGAUUUGGAGAAACAGAAAUUAAGAAAAAAAGAAAAAAUUAUAUAAAAAACCUGCCAAGCUGGGGAAUAAACAAUCUGUGGUGCAGUCACUGCACUGUGGUGAGCAUCAUGCUGGGCUCAGCAGGAACGAGCUGAUGGGUGAGGAGCUGCUCUCCGCUUCUUCCUCCUCCUCCUUCCUUGUACCAGCGCUGCCUGCAUGGGCCCCAUGUGGGACCUCAGUGGGUGGUGGGGAGUGUUGGGGUGCUGGUGGCUCCUGACAAAAAUCCCAGUUGUCCCUCUGAGGAGCUGUUUCCUACAAGAGCUCAGUACCAGGGGGAGGCUUCCCCUGAAGAUCCCUUGUCCACAGGGCUCGGCAGUGUCUGCAGGGACGUGUGGCUUUGCAAAGUGCUCACUGGGCUAAAUUAAUCCCAAAUUCUGCUGCUCAGAGGAAAGGUUUGGUCACUGCCGCUUUGCAAACUUUGUCAUGAAGAGUCCUGUGGCUUUAUGGUUUCAGAUUGCGCACGUGGGGCUAAACCACGUACCGCAGAUGUUAAAUGUAGAUGUUAAAUGUUGCUGUUCUGUUUAUCUAGUGUUAAACAUCACCUGCAGUUCCUGCACGGUGUGAGAGGUGCGAGAGGGCGAGGGUUGCACCGCAGUCCCCACCUGUGCCACCGCUGUGGAUUAUUUGCCCAUCAACAAACCGUCCUGCUCUGGUACUCACCUCACCUCUCCCACUUCUGUGCAGGUCAGUAAACAGCUGUAUUUCAUUGACCAAAGAGUGAAUCAUGCCAGCAAAUUGGUGACGCAUCCCACAGGUGUCACCAGCAUCCCGAGCAUCCGGGUGCAAUGCCAGCGGGGUUACCUUGUGCCAGAUGGGCUGGAGGAAGAAAUGUGCAAGGACAGAGAUUGAUAGGAGGGAUGAUAUCACAAUAUUGGACACGAAGGUGAGGAAGCAGUUUCCCAAGAGAAGGGGGGUGUUUGGUCGGUGAGGGUUUGGUGUGCCCACUGUUGGGGGUGCUGUUGGGCAGCAAAUCCACCGCCCUGCUGCAGCCCUUCGCUGCUAGGGAGAGGAAAAUAAAUAAGGGAAAUCAGAAAAGCUUUUCCCAUUAAAAGAGAAAUUAGCUUGUGCAGUGCUAAGCCCCCCGUCUGCGGGCCCAGCGCAGCCAAUCUGUUUUUAUUGUUUCACGGGACAGCUCUGCAACCGGACAAUGACAAAUCCCAGGAAUUAGCAAAGUGUAAUUACUCCAUAUUAGCUGAAUUCACAGUAUAGACACAGAUCAUAAACAGCCAUUGAUUAUUCCUAAUUUCACAUUUUUAGCAUUCUGAAUUGCAGCAAUUAUGCCUGUCCAAGGGAAUUAUCUUCUCUUUCAACCCCUCAAGUCCCCAGUCACUGCCCUUCCUUUAAAAUAAUCUUUUCCUGCUGAAAAAGAGGACAUUUAACACAAAUUCCUCCUACUUUUACAACAAAAUUCCCCUCCACCCCAGCUCCCAAAUCCCUCUGGUUCUGCAGCCCAAAGGUUUCUCCUUGGACAAGAUCUGUGAGAGGGGCUGGUAGAACUCAGCGUUUUCUUGUUACUGACUACAAGCAGCAUUACAAAAAUGAAUGUAGAUAUAAACUAUUAAUAUUUGCCCAGGAAAAUUCAAACCUUAUUAGUAUCAUACCAUUACAUUUGUUUCUUACUCACAGGCAGUGAUUUCAUUACAAAGCAUAGCAGAGCAUACUGCCAGCUCCGCAACACUGAUGCGGUCAGUUGAGAGGGGGAAAGAUCCCAUUGUUUACCGACCACAGAGCAUUUGGGACUUUUCCUUUUGCUUUGCCCUGGUAAAUACGGAGGAAUGGUAGGUGGCUGCCAUGGGACAGGCGCUGGGCUCACAGAUGUGCUGGGGUGUCAGGCUGCACCUGGGGCUGUGGGUGAGGAGGAGGAGGAAGAGCAGACGGGCCGCUUGGCUCCGCGCCACAGGCCAUGGGCUCCUGAGUUAUUGCAGACACUUUGGUCUGACCCACACAGUAAUUUUGGCAUUUUUAUCUAUUUUGACAUGAUUUGCCCAUCUUGGGCUGCAGCGGUGCAAAGGGACAAGGGGCCGAGAAGCCCAUGGUUCAAAGCACUUGGAGGGAGUUAUUUAUUCCAGGCAGAGGCUGCGGCCACCAAGCAGCAGCAGCAGCAAAUUUUUAUUGCACCCAUUCCUAGGACACUGAAGAAGGAUUAUGUAUGCUUCCACUACACCAGCUUUUUAUUAGAUUGCAGGCCGGGGUUAAAGUGAUCCUUGUCAGCACAAAUAUAAUGCCCGGGGUGAUGGGAGCGGCAUAAAUUGAGGACAAGAGGUGGCCGCUUUUACCGCUGCUCUCAAGAAUGCUCUGCUAUUUUACUGCAUCGUUUGCUUUUUAAUUGGGACAUUUUCCUCUGGCCAGUGGAUGUCUUUCCUACUCUUUUUUUUUUUUGCUGGCGAGGUGCAAUAAAUAGCCGGCCUGACACAGACUCUGAGGGGCGUGAAGUGCAGAGGGCAGAUUAGUGGCUGCACCAAAGCCCUUCGAAUCUCCCCGUUUUGCCACGAUGGGACCGAUUUUGGUCCAGCUUCCGCAAGCUGGGGACACAGGGGCUGUCCUGCGGUGGCAAGGGGUCCGCAGCAGCACAAACCACGCAGCUGCUUCAUGUAUUUGUCACCUCCAUUUCUUUCCAGAGUACACACAUGUUAGCAGGAGGAGACUGUCCUCAGUGCUGUGUCAGUGUAAUGAGUUUAUCUGUGGCUAUUUCUGAUAUGUCCGUGCCAUUGGAAAGCAAUAUUUGAGGGAGCACAUGGCAACCCUGUGUGCCAGGCUGGACAGAUUUGCUUAUCGGUUACGGCAGAGCAGGACUAUGGGGAUGCAGCAUCUGAAUGUUCCAAAAUUGCCUGUUUGCUGUAAUCGGGCAGAGUGAGCUAUUGCAUGGGAACCACGGUGACACUGAGCGUGCAAGAGAGCUGGGAGGGAAAUAAGAUACUCAUUCAGGUGUCCUGUUAUUUUUAUUUGCCCACAGUAGUGGCUGAUUAAUUAGAUAUCUUCCACCCCCACCCUCCCUGUACUUGCAGCAGAGGAAUUCCUGCCUUUGAGCUGCUAAUGCACCUCACCCAUCCAGUAAAGCAUCACAGUGCAGACAAAAUAUCUCUUUAAAAAGUGCAAUAGAAAUUAAACUCUCCACUGAGAACAAAACCAGUGAGGCUUUUUGCAUCUACUGCUUUUAUUGUAUUCUGUAACAUUUGUAAAGCAGAUCACUUUUAUCGAGAGAGCCUAUCUUUUCUCCCAAGCUGUAAUUCCUAGACUUCUUAAAGAAGAUUUCUGCUCACAAAGGAAAUAAAAGAUAGAAAUAUGAUGCUCUCUGACAUUUGAACAUGCUACUGAGAAUCUGAAUUAAAAGGAACAAACUCAGAAAGUACCAUUUAUACAGCAAUCAACUUUAAAAAGUCACCAUCUGCUAAGAGUUACCACCUGGUGUAACGGCAUCUUUAUUGCUAGAGAGAGAAUAGGGAAUAAGUCGGGGAACUCUUCUGCCCCUGCUGGGUUUGUCUUGGUGCUGCGCGCACGCUGAGCCGCAGGGGCUGGCGUGCCGCAGGGUGCCUAUUGCAACUCGCCUUUCGCUGCAGCUCACCACAGAAUAUAAAUCUGAAUACGGGUGCCAUUAGGAGGGAUGAUUUGAGGUUGUUAAAGUUAUAGCAUAGUGUCAGCUUUUUGAAAAGUCUAAAGGGCAAAAGAAAUGACCUAAGCUGGAAUGAGGGACCCGGCUUGGGUUUAUAUGCAGAAAACGGAUCUUGUUUUUUUCUUGCUUGCUGCUCACCUCCUUGCUGCCCCCACCCCAAUGACAUUUCCUGGCCUCUCAGAGCCCUUUCUAGUUCCAUCUUUCUGUUUCAUCAUAAUUGAUUGUAAUAUUAUCAAAUUCUUUGACCUGUGCAACUUGACUAGCACUCACCUUGCAGUUUUUUGUCUCAUUUCGGUCUUCCACUGCUCAUAGUCUCCUAGAAAGAUUGUGGACGCUUUGAUACAAAAAAUUCCCAUCAGAUUUUAUGUCUUCCAUCAAGCCCACUCUGUGUUCAGGUGAUGCUUGGUGUAACUUAAUCCCCUCUGCUGCUACUGUGCAGUGUUGAUCUCCCUGUCUCGGCAAUGGUGAUGGUUUCCCUCCUGCCUCUCCACGCACCAGACUCAACUGUGGCAAUAUAACUGUGUGCACCAUUUCGAGUCUUUGGUCUCUUGGAGUGAACUGAGAUGCAUUCACAAGGCACAUAAACUGAAAAAGUGUGGAAAUGUUUGUGCAAGUUAUUUCUGCAUUAUCUGCCUUGGAUUUUAUCCAAUAGCACCGACGCUGGGAAGCUGCAGUGGCUUUUCCCCACCAGGUUUCCCAUCACUGUGCAACAUCUAUUGUAGAGUCUGCUUGUGUCAGAAGCAAGGAAGCAAGGCUGGGCCUGAGAGCCAAAUAAUAAAAGUGAUAUAAUAACAUAAUAAAGAUGAUACAAUAAAAUAAUGAACAGGCAACCAUGUUCUCCUCCCCUUUUAUGACUUCUAAGCCUCUCAUUGCCAUCCCUCAGGAGGCCACUGUGUCCUCUCUCCUUUCCAAGGUCUUGUGCUGUUGCAGAGGCUGAGUCAGGAACGGUAGAAAGUCUUUGGUGCUGUUUUGCUUUGUUCCUGGUGGGGAAGAACGUCUUUUGCCAUCACUCUCAGUUGCCCGUUCCUGCGUGAGUUUGUGGCAUCGUGCUGGGCUUUGGAAAGGGGAGUGCUUGCAGUCCUCGUUGACUUGCUUUAGGAGUUUUUAAUUGCAUUUAAUCACCAAGCUCUAAUCAAAGUUCAGAUGCCUUAUUUGAGGGAAGUUAAUAGAUACAUUAGUUAAAUUUACUGUGUUUUGUUGUGUGUUGUUUUGGCAGAAGAGCAGCCAAUAUGUGCUCCGAUAACAAAUGUUUCCACCCCAAACCCUUGGGGCUGGAUGGCAGGUGUUGCAAGAUGUGGACAUGCAAGUGUCUUCUGCUGCUUGCUGUCAUCAUCAACACUCACAGAGCCUCAUUUAUUGUGAAAUGUAAUAACUCCUUAAAAGCUGAAUGGGAAUCUGGUGUGAAGCAUAUAACCAGCUCACACAGGAGCAGUUACCAAGUGCAGUAAUGGUCUGUUUAAGGAAAACAGCAGCUAUUUUAAUUUGGGCUUCACAUGGGAAACGCCAGGCAGGUAUCUGCCAAGACCCUCCAGCCACAAUCAGUCUUAGCGAGGUUGGAAUGACUAAUUGCAGUGCCACCCAGCCGUGCGUUCAGCACAACAAACCCAUUGGCACGGCGGGAUUCCUCCUCAGAGGCCCCUCUCAAGCGCCAUGAGAAAACAGCAGUCAAAGGAUCUGACUAUGCCAACUCAUAGUACUUCCCAGAAUUUGGAUCAAAGUAGCAGUUCAGACAUGGAUCAUACAGAAGAUUCAAAACUUCAUCUUCUUCAGCACUGGGGUCAUCUUCACCUGGGUCAAGUGGGGAAAGUAAGAAUAAAUUACUCCUGUUGACUUAGACAACUAGAUGGAAAUACCUUUCUUUCAGAUGUGACAGGAUGUCUCUUUAAAGUGCAUCAUCUUUUGACUUCUGAUAACAAGAUAACAGCAAUUCACACUGUUAUUAUAUUUCUGAAGACUUGUAUUUAGUCGAGGUGAAACGAUGUCAGUCACUUUGCUUAACAACCGGACUUCACAGAGUUGAAUGGAGCAGCUCACCAGAAGCACCUUUGCUAAUAGUGGAUCAAAGCCUCCCAAAGUGCUUUUUUUCAAAAUGAUCUUAAACGAUAAUGUUUUAGUAUGAACAAUGAUGGUCAGCGUGCACUUAAGUGCUGUAAGAACAAAAGAUUUUGAAUGUCUGGUAUCCAACACGUUCCCUAAAUGUCCAGUACAGGUAAACCUCUACAGAAGAGCUUCCAAUAACAGAGGAAAUAAGAUUCUUUCAGACAAUAAAAAAUUUAAAUUUAGGUUGUCUGAAGUUAUUUAAAAUACAAGAGAAGUUUUCAGCUAGCAGAAACAAAUCCUUAGCCUAAAACACACUGAUAAAGCCAUACAGACCACUACAGACACUCUGUAUGUUGUAGCUCCUUUUCUAAACACGUCUGUCAUACAACCUAAAUCUAAGUCACAAGAUCUAUAGUUUUUUGUUAGGAAAUAAUUCAUUGCUGAAUGUUAAUCUCGUUCUUAGACUGCUAAUACAAACUGAAUGCUUUGUAUGCCCUAACUCUUCAUAAUAAGUAAUGGCCUGUGAUGUUAACAGCAGCAGUUUCACAAUGCUCUGAGUCUAUUUACAGCCAGGAUCACAGAACGAUAUAUAGGUUACAUUAUCUAGAGACCAGAAAGUAGGUUGGUGCAUUGAAUGCAUACAGAAGAAGCGUGCACCUUAUUGUUUCGGAAGAGAUUUCAUUUGUGUUUCCCCAGUAGCAUUAACAAAUGCCAUGAGAAAGAAACUCUUACUGUAACCACAGGUGAAAGGGCAAAGCUGAAUUGUUGCUGUCCUUGCUGUGGGUGCUUCAUCAGGCCUGGUGAGCUAAAUGGGGUUAACAGAGGUAUUUUGUUUGGAUAGCUCUUGGGAAAACUUAUGCAGCGCACAAAGAAGGUGUAGAACCCCCCAUCUUUUUCUAUACUUCAGAUUGUAGUAAACAAGCAAAUGGUAUUCAUGCCUGAUAGGUAUAGAUGCAUCAGAAUUUAAUUUGAUUGAAUAAAGGUACAAAAAUAAAAAGCCAAAAUAAAAAGCUAUGGUAUACAGAGAUUUUCUGUUCUCCAAAUGUGCCAUCACAGACACAUGAUGUAAAAUAUCUCAGCGUAAAGAAAAAUGAGUUAGGAACAAUUCACAAAACAGUUUGGAAUGUCUAGUGUGAAGAACAGAAGAAAUCCAACAAAUUCCCAAGUAUGCUUAUUUUUAAAGAUUUUAAAGAUAAUAAUCCAAAUCUUAAAAUUUACAGAAUUUCUAGCUUUAUUGCAGCAAGCCUUGGAUUUCAUAAUACUAACAUAAAAAAUGCUCAGAGACCUAUCACAACUUUAUGUCCAACAUGCCUUUAACUCAAGGAUUGCUGUCCAAUUUUCUUUGGCUUACUUAAGACCCUUAAGAAAAUCUAUUAUUUGAUUCUUCAGUGCAAGGUCCCUUCCUGACAGCAAAAUUCUAUUUUGCUGCCAUAAAGAAUUGCACAUACAGAUCUAUGAAAACAUUCCCGAUUUGAGGGGCAGAGUCUAUUUUAGAUGGUAAAUCACCAAGACAUCUUCAUCCCUCAGGCAGAAAAAUACACAGGAGAGAUUUAUAAGAUUUCACGUGACUUGAAGAAAAAUAUCUGCCGUUUCCUAAGACAACCGAUAAGGAAAGGGGUAUUUGAAGGGGUAUUUGGAGAACGGGGCAUUUGAAGAAAACAAGGUGUUUGUUUUAUUCCAUUGUUGUUGACUUUCCAUUGUUCUUUGCCAUUCUCUAAACAAACACCAUUGAUAAACAAAAGCCUGUAGCACUUUAGGUGGUGACAACAGUCUUUAGUCAGGAAAUCAUGCUGAGAUUUCAUUUAAGGCUAAAUCUGAAUUUUUUCUUCAUAAGAGAAGUUCCGCUUAUGCAAGUGCAAUUGUCCUGAAUGUUUAGUCUUUGUGUUCUUUCAUAGGUUUACCAUCCCCACUAGCAUCAAUUCCUUAAACAACUAAGAUGUGGUUUUUUAUGAAUUAAUCCAUAUCGAGCCAGCAUAUUAGGAAACUACAACUGCAUAAGUUAUUAUUCUAUCAGAGAUAAAUAAUACCUCAUGGAAAACUCUGCUAGCUUGAGCUGAGAAUAACAAAAGACAACUUGGAACCAAAAUGUAGCAGUAUAGACAACUAUGAAAAGGCAGAACCAGCACUACAGAAACAACAUUUAGAAACGUCUUCCUGCCCAGGUCCUUUUCAUUGUCUUCAUAAAUUCCUACCUGGAAUACUCUGAUUUGUUGAAGAUUUAGUGUGCUCUUCCAACUCUUGGCUUCCAGGAUUGAUGGGGGGACUGAACACAUUCGACCAGUCCCUGAAAAAUACAAAUCAAACUAUCAUUCGUAAAAGAACAGUUCUUGUUCCUAUUUAUUCUAAUUAUUUUGAUUAUUAAAAAAAAUUCAAAGGAAAUCAAAGGUUGUCAUGUGUGAUGAAACACAAUCCAGCUGUGGUUUAUUAUUAUGAAAAUAAACUUUACAGUUAAGACAAUUCUUAACUGUUAAGGCUUCCUUCCUCUUUUAGCUACUGGCAAAGACCAUACAGAGGACUCCUCAGCACAGCUGUCAUGUAGCUAUUUUGCUUUUGUAAAGAAAAAGGUUUUGAUGGGAUCUUUAUCAAAGAGGAGGGAGUAUGGACUUUCUUCACCCAUUCAAUUUAAUAGGCAAUUUACAUCCCUCCUGAAUAUUACUUUGUGAUAGCUUGUAAAAAUGAUUUUCACAUUAUCAUACAUUCAUGCAAAGUUCAACGUUCAUGCCACAUAUACCACUUUAUGAUACACUGUCUUUGACUGCUACAGCUCCAAGAAAGGAGAACAGUUGUUUUCAUUGUUACUGCUUUUUAUUGCAAACUGAACUGCAUAUUUUUUUUCACUGAAAAAGUCACUCAUAUUAUAUUAUCAACCAGAGAAAGACAUCCUGGGAAGGACACAGCUAAGUCACGAAGUUAAGACAUUCCUUGUGCAGGUGACCACGUCAUGUAAUUGUUUUCAUGUAUGAAACUAAUCUCUGUACACUGAGCAUAGCUGAUGUUUCCUUAAGUUCCCACCUCUUCUCAUCAACAGUAAAGAGUCAUAACACAUUAAACCUUCCAUAUAACUAUUAACUAGACUAAAUAAUUGCAAGUUAACACUUGAAUACAGAAUUCGAGGUACCUCAGUAAGUCAGCUCAUUUUGAUAGAACCAAUUCCAUCCUUUUUGACCAUUUCAUUUCACUGCAAGGCAAGGGGAAUGGAAGGGAAAAGAGCUCUUUAAAUUCCCUUGUGUUUGCUUCAUGCUGAUGGGAACAGUGCAGCUCUUCAGAGCAAAUUAAACUUGGUUUGGGGUUGAUUCAACUUGUGUUUGGCCGUGGCUGUUCCAACAGCUGGCACAAAAUUAUUAUCCAUGCAAACUUGUGCUAGAGACCAGGGGGAUUAGCCAGAGCUUUAGAGGUAACUUCAGCAUCCACGGUUUCCUCUAAAAGGGAUGAAUUUACUAACGAUUGACAGACUGCAAUAGUCUCAACUCAAUUGUAAUUGUCCAGCACCAAUUGAACAGGUAGUGUACUUCUACUUUCUGAAAAGCCUUGAUGAUCUCAUGUGAGAUGUGCUACUGACAGAGAAAUCUGGCAAGGCUCAAUCGUGUUAUAAUUGCUAAAGUAUGCAAAUGGCCCUUCCCUCCCUUUUUUUUUCUGCUACUUCUGGACUUUGAUUCCACAUCAUCUCCUGUUGGUGUGUAUGGACAAUCUGGGGUGAACCAGGGGACAACCGCCUACCUGUUUGCAGUCAAAAUGGAAAAACCUAAUUUUCUGCUUCAGGAAACAGAACUGCUGGUGUAGAAAUCCAGCCAGUAGUAUAGCAGAUUUAAAAGAAGAAAUAUUGAAUUUCCCAUCAUUUCAAUAUGUAAAAAAUGUACUUCAAAAUUUUUUUACACCAUCAUAUUAUUUUCACAUAUAAGGCCAAUUUCACAACCAACCCUUCUCCUUUCUGUGGUUCAGCUAACAGCAGUGAGAACUGGUACAACCAAUCCACACAGCAAUAUGCUUGCCCAGACAUCCCAUUAUUAGCUCUUGCUGUCGUUGCUCCCCAUAUUUGCAUUCCCUGAAUACAGCCAAAGACUCUUUAUUUACACCAAAGCUUCAUAAGUUUUUAGGAAUAAUAUUUCAAAGCAUACUGUGAUA